AUCUCUAAUCACCCUUAAAUCUGUCGGAGGGAUCCAACAGAUUUAUACAGUUUGAGAAGUGUGAUUGAUCUUGGGUUUACUGAUGAUGAUUUGGUACUCCAUGACCAAAUAAAUGAUGUCACUCAUGUUGAUAUCUUCCUUCUUGUUAUUAAAAAGAUUAUUGUUUCUAGUUAACCAUAUAUCCCAGAAGUAAAAAGUUUAUAUGGCAUCCCAG
rnacentral:lncRNA from 1 species